rnacentral:misc_RNA from 1 species
CGUGCUUCAAGAUCAUCUGCACUGUCUGUAUGAAUGAAUGAUGAAUAAAUCUAUGGGAUUUUGAUGAUCAGGCUCUUCACAUAAGGGAAACCCCUCUGUCAGACCCCAAAAUCUCUGCAACUCUCUCACUGAAAAAGAAAAAGAGAAAUGAAGAGAAAGACUGGGUUAAAAAGGCUGAGAAAAAGAUACCCAUCUUUCCUCACUCGCUAUCCAUACCAUUUAUUAUCAUGUACAGCACUCAAAAUUAUUCAGAAAAAAUUUUUCCAAAAUUCAUAUGGGAUUUUUUUUUUUUUCUGAUUGAUGAGCAACUCAUAUACCUUUGCUUCUUUGUCUUUC